GCUCCGGUAGUAUAGUCCGGUUAAGUAUGACGGCCUCUCGAGUUUAUAGGCGGGGAGAGCCGCCGACCCGGGUUCAAAUCCCGGCCGGAGCA
rnacentral:tRNA from 1 species